AUUAACCUCAUCUCAUGCAAAUGACUGAACUCCUGGCACAGAAGUUUUUUCUGCAUUAGCAUUGCUGUGUCUGAUAAAAUUGACACUGAAGAGAUCCAUCAAUAAUUAGGUUCGUGCAUUGUGCAGCAUCUGAUACUCUUUUUCUUCAGAGGAUGUAUUUGUUACCUCUGCUGUGUGCCAGGACCUCCUCUUGAUGUUGUGCCAAUGACUCAGCUGCUUUACUGUGACAACUUACCUCCAGCAAAGUGGGAAGAUGAGCAGCUGCUUGCAGAACCAAAGCCAAUCUUCUGCCUGGGAUCAGUUGGCAAGGAUUUCUGUGAAAGAAGCGAGGAUGCAGUAAAUGAUAUGUGCUGAAUUAAUUGUACCUACUACCAGCCUGUCU